UGGGGAAUAUUGGACAAUGGGGGCAACCCUGAUCCAGCAAUGCCGCGUGUGUGAAGAAGGUUUUCGGAUUGUAAAGCACUUUCGACGGGGACGAUGAUGACGGUACCCGUAGAAGAAGCCCCGGCUAACUUCGUGCCAGCAGCCGCGGUAAUACGAAGGGGGCUAGCGUUGCUCGGAAUGACUGGGCGUAAAGGGCGUGUAGGCGGUUUGUACAGUCAGAUGUGAAAUCCCCGGGCUUAACCUGGG
rnacentral:rRNA from 1 species